rnacentral:rRNA from 1 species
GUCUGUUUGAAGGUAUAAAAAGUCCGGCCUGCCCACUGACAUUAUUUUUUUAAAGGGCCGCGGUACUCUGACCGUGCAAAGGUAGCAUAAUAGUUAGGUUUUUAAUUGAGAUCUUGUAUGAAUGGUUUGACAAGGAAAAGUCUGUCUUUGUAUUUAUUUAUUGAAUUUAACUUUUAAGUGAAAAGGCUUAAAUGAGUUAGGGGGACGAUAAGACCCUAUAAAACUUUAUAUAAUUCUGUUAGUUAAUUGAAUUCUCUUUUUUUAUAAAAUUUAACUGAAACCUUUAUAUUAUGUUGGGGCGACAAAGAUAAAAAUUAAGAUAACUGUUUAAAGCUCAGACAAUCAUGUUUGAUUAUAAUUUUAAAUGAUCCUGUCUAAAGAUUAAAAGUUUAAGUUACUUUAGGGAUAACAGCGUUAUUUUUUUUGAGAGUUCUUAUCGAAAAAAGAGUUUGCGACCUCGAUGUUGAAUUAAAAUUUCUAUACAAUUGCAGAAGUUGUAUAAGAGGGUCUGUUCGACCUUUAAAUUUUUACAUGAUUUGAGUUCAAACCGGCGUGAG